AACAAACGCUGGCGGCGUGCCUAAUACAUGCAAGUCGAACGGGGAAAGCUUUCGGAUGAGUACUAGUGGCGCACGGGUGAGUAACGCGUGGAUAAUCUGCCUUAGAGUGGGGGAUAACUAGUCGAAAGAUUAGCUAAUACCGCAUAAGACCACAAGAACUGCGGUUCAAGAGGUCAAAGGUUUUUCGCUCUAAGAUGAGUCCGCGUAAGAUUAGCUAGUUGGUGAGGUAACGGCUCACCAAGGCAACGAUCUUUAACUGGUCUGAGAGGAUGAUCAGUCACACUGGAACUGAGACACGGUCCAGACUCCUACGGGAGGCAGCAGUAGGGAAUAUUGCACAAUGGAGGAAACUCUGAUGCAGCGACGCCGCGUGAGUGAUGAAGGCCUUCGGGUCGUAAAGCUCUGUCGUAGGGGAAUAACACAAUGAAUGUACCCUGUAAGAAAGGAUCGGCUAACUUCGUGCCAGCCGCCGCAGUAAAAC
rnacentral:rRNA from 1 species